rnacentral:rRNA from 1 species
UGGGGAAUUUUGGACAAUGGGGGAAACCCUGAUCCAGCCAUCCCGCGUGUGCGAUGAAGGCCUGCGGGUUGUAAAGCACUUUUUGCAGGAAAGAAACGUCAUGGGUUAAUACCCCGUGAAACUGACGGUACCUGCAGAAUAAGCACCGGCUAACUACGUGCCAGCAGCCGCGGUAAUACGUAGGGUGCAAGCGUUAAUCGGAAUUACUGGGCGUAAAGCGUGCGCAGGCGGUUCGGAAAGAAAGAUGUGAAAUCCCAGAGCUCAACUUUGGAACUGCAUUUUUAACUACCGGGCUAGAGUGUGUCAGAGGGAGGUGGAAUUCCGCGUGUAGCAGUGAAAUGCGUAGAUAUGCGGAGGAACACCGAUGGCGAAGGCAGCCUCCUGGGAUAACACUGACGCUCAUGCACGAAAGCGUGGGGAGCAAACAGG